AAUACUUAAAAGUUACUGUAUCUUUAAUUUACUUAGAAAGAAAUUGGAACCCAGAGAUUUGAAGACUCCUGGCGCUUUAAAUAACUAUUUUGUGACAACCGGGAUCUAGAACUCUAUAACCUUGACUUCCAGUCCCAUGUUGAGUCCCUAGAGCAUGCUACAGCCCCACAUCUUAAGUCAUCUUCUGGGUAAAUUGAAAGUUGGAGAGGAUAAUGGGACAUUUUAAUUUUUAUGCAGUUGGCAAUGUGACAGACUGUGGCUAAUCGAUGACCCUGCAUCCCUGAGUGAGUACUCAGAGCAGACGCCUCUUCUGUCCUUGAAGACACAAGGUGAAAGCUCAGCUUCCAAGACAUUGAAAAAGAAAGAAAAAGAAAAAAAGAUUGAUUUGGUGCCAUGUAUGUGUUUUUGGAAAAAUGAAGAUUCAUAUCUCAAGGAGGCACAUGGGAUGGAUGUGAAUGCGAUGACCUCGCCCUCUACUCAUCAAUAAAGAUUUUUCUGCAUCUUUCUCUCACUGAAAUGUUAUUCCUCUGGUUUGUAUUUCCAUAUGAAUCAACACUGUAAGGCUAUGGGACCAAGACAGACACAGCAGGAGCAAUUCUUUCCUUGUGUGCUUCCAUUUUUAAAGCUG
rnacentral:lncRNA from 1 species